UAAGACGGAGGAUGCAAGCGUUAUCCGGAAUGAUUGGGCGUAAAGCGUCCGCAGGUGGCAAAUCAAGUCUGCUGUUAAAGCGCAGGGCUUAACUCUGUAAAGGCAGUGGAAACUGAUUAGCUAGAGUAUGGUAGGGGUAGAGGGAAUUCCCAGUGUAGCGGUGAAAUGCGUAGAGAUUGGGAAGAACAUCGGUGGCGAAGGCGCUCUGCUGGACCAUAACUGACACUCACAGGACGAAAGCUAGGGGAGCGAAUGGGAUUAGAUACCCCAGUAGUCCUAGCCGUAAACGAUGGAUACUAGGUGUUGUCUGUAUCGACCCGGACAGUGCCGUAGCUAACGCGUUAAGUAUCCCGCCUGGGGAGUACGCACGCAAGUGUG
rnacentral:rRNA from 1 species